CGGAAAAGGAGCAUACGGCAAUGAGAUGAUGUACUCGCCGGCGGAUGUGGAGAAGAUUGUGGAAUUUGGAAUGGAACAUGGAGUUAGGGUUUUACCUGAGAUUGAUAUGCCCGGUAAGCUCUUUUUUGAUAAUCACAAGAAAGCAUAGAUACUUUUUGGGAAGGAACAAAAUUGGACUUUUGGAUCUAUUCUAUAGUUUUAAAAAACAUGGGGAUGAUAACUGCUUUUUUAGUUUAUUGGAACUUAAAAGAAAUCUUUAUGGAUCUGUAACAACUUUUAUAAAGAUAUAUUUAUUUUCAUACACAAACUGAAACAAAAACGUAGGUGGAGCACGUUUAACUUUGGAGUUUUGAUGGAAUGCAGUGCGUUAGUGCUGGUGGACGGAAGUAGUGUCUAUUUUAUGUGCUAUUUAGAAUAGAAAUUUAAGAGUUAUAGUGCUAUGAAAUAAAGAUAUUGUUAUCGACUCUCAAUUGACUCUUUUGGGGCAAGAGCGGGUGCUAGCUAUUGAAUAAAUUUGACUAACCUAGAAUAAUAUGGAGAUUCUGCUUUUUGACGGAUCAUUCUCUAUCCAUAAAAAACAUUUCCCUAUAAUGCCACUAUGAUUCCUUUGUAGAAAUAGUGUAAAAUUAGUAUUGCUAGUGCUUAUAAUAGUGUAUCUGAAGUGAAAAACAAAACCGAGUACAAUUGUUCUUUGACAAAGGUAAAGAAAAGGAAAUUACAGUUUUUG
rnacentral:lncRNA from 1 species